rnacentral:rRNA from 1 species
GAUGAACGCUGGCGGCGUGCUUAACACAUGCAAGUCGAACGGAAAGGCCCAAGCUUGCUUGGGUACUCGAGUGGCGAACGGGUGAGUAACACGUGGGUGAUCUGCCCUGCACUUCGGGAUAAGCCUGGGAAACUGGGUCUAUUACCGGAUAUGACCUCUUCAUGGAUGUUGUGCUGUAAAGAUUUUUGGGUGUGGUAUGAGCUCGCGGCCUAUCAGCUUGUUGGUGGGGUAAUGGCCUACCAAGGCGUUGACGGGUAGCCGGCCCGAGAGGGUGUACGACAACAUUGAGACUGAGAUACGGCCCAGACUCCUACGGGAGGCAGCAGUGGGGAAUAUUGCACAAUGGGCGCAAGCCUGAUGCAGCGACGCCGCGUGGGGGAUGACGGCCUUCGGGUUGUAAACUCCUUUCGCUAGGGACGAAGCGUUUUGUGACGGUACCUGGAGAAGAAGCACCGGCUAACUACGUG